GGAUUAUUCCACCAACUCCAUGGGCCUUUUCUACAAUUAUGUUUUUUUCAGUGUGUCGCUGUGUGCUUUGUUGAUCAGAUUCCAAAUCUCGAAAUCAGCAUUGGGAAACAUGUCAAUCGUCCCGUUAGAAAUAUGAUUUGCCCAAAGGGUAAGCUUCAUCUUGAAGGCAUCCACUUUGUCCCUCUGUUCAAGUCGAUUGUGCCCCCGUCCCUUGCGUUGACACUUUGAGCGAAU